rnacentral:tRNA from 1 species
GGGGGGGUAGCUCAGUGGCAGAGCAUGUACUUAUCAUAUACAAGGCCCUGGGUUUGAUCCCUAGCACCA